CAAAGCUGACGUUUAAACGGGUAAAUUAAUGUGAUCUUCAAGAGGUGCUGUAGACUUGCGGGUUGUUUCUUAAAGACUAGAAAGAUGUAGUGGCUCAAAUGUCUUAUAGUCUUAUCACAGUAAAUACUUCAGUGACAGACAGCUAUGACUUCAAAACAGGGAUUCAGACUGAAAUACAAAAAAUAUGUCAGUAAAGAUCAAUAAUUGAAGAGAUUUUAUGGAUGGGACUCACAUGAAAUAGAGUUUCCAAGGGUCUAUAAUCUUAGCCAGAAAACUGCAUGUGAGCAAGGGGAAUGUGGUAAGAGAAGACUGGUGAUAAUAAACAGAGGCCAUGCAAAAAAAAAAAAUGUAAGUAACUUCACAAAGAAUGUUUAAAACUGGCUAAAA